CCGGGCCGGGCCGGGCGCCCCGCCAGGUCUAUGCCGUACAGGCCGGGAGACUACAGCUCCUAGCAUCCCCGGCAGCGCGCGGGGCGCCAUGGGGAGAGUGGCGGAGCCGCGGCGCAGCGCGCAGAACAGAAGGAAAAUGAACCAGCUGCAGGCUUUGCUGAAUGACAGUCUUAUCAGAACAAAGCAUGUGGAAAACGCAGCUAUCAUUGACAUAAAAGACAAGUCUGUGCAUCAACCUAUGGCUUUUACUAACGUAAGAGAUCCAAGAGCAUCCAGGGAAGUGAAGCAGAGGUAGAAACUCUGGGAAUCUAGAGCACAAAGUAGCAGUAAAAGGCAGGGAGCACAGCGCUUUACUAAAUACACUUGAUUCUUUCAACCUCAGAGACCGAGUUACAGGCGUGCAGCCUACCUACUGUGUUCAGAAGCUAACGUCACAUCUUUGAUUUUCAGAAGAAAGAUGCCAUUUAACUGGCAUUUUCAAGGAGUCCUUUUUAACCACUCCGCACUCAAUGACUCCACCAGUGAAGCACAUGUACGUAGGUCUGUUCUCUGGCACUGAGACCUGCUGGUAUGGAAUAUGCCGUGCCCAUAACUAUAACCCCGAAACAGAGUGGCUGUACCAGGUUGCCUAUGGGGAGCAGUCCUGGGCCAUUCUAAAUUUAGACUGUGCCUCAGAAUUGUUUGGGAAAGUGCUUACUGGCUCAGGCCAAAACACCAGCCAGACUGUCCCGACAGCACUCAGAACUGCUCCCUGGCACCUUAAAUUUGCUGGCAUAUAUGUAGUUUAUCUGUUUUCAUUGUGCAUCAGCUGAUAAACAGCAGAAUAAAAGCACUUCUAGUCAUAUCAUAUUAUAUGGCAAAACUAAUACUCUCUGACAAAGUCUGUGAACUUUCUAGAAGUUGAGAAAUGCUUCCCACACCACAGUCCUCCCCUUAUGUCGUUGGAAGGUGGUACCACUUCCUCUCCUAAACCCCAUGAUACCAGCUCUCAAACACUUCCAGGAAGUUUUUCCAGGGGUGCAUGCUGCUAUCCUUGGCACACUCAGAAGAAUGUUCAGAAGACGAAGCCCUUGUUAAGAUAGCCCCAUCCCCAGAGACAGAUUUUCAGCAGAGCGAGCCAUUAGCCCACUAGCUAACAGUGACAUAAUCUUUAAUAUAUAAAUGAUCUUAAGUAUAAACCACAGCUUUCAGAGAUGCCAGCCUGCUGGCUUUUCAGCAAAGAUUACAUGCUGAGGUGCAGAGCGAAGUCCUCAGCUGGUGUUAAUUAUCACCAUCUCCACUGACUUGAAAGAAUUUCAGGCCAGGAGGGAUCACUGGAUCAUCUUAUCCAACCAGUUAAAUAUAAAUCUGCCAAACCAGUGAGCCAGUUACACAUACACUGUGCCCAAGAAGUCAUUGACAUGAACAGAUUUGACCUGUGCAAACUGCUCCAUUGAGGUGUGGUCAUCUGCUCUGGACCGGCUAAAGGUUACACUUCCCAUUGAAGACUUAAAGAGUAUUUGAAAUUGGCAUCCUUGGGUGAGCUCUGCCUUGGGUCCAGUCACCACAGGCACAUUGCCUACCUAGAGACGUGGUACUGAGUAAUGGGCCUACGCAGAUAGUAAUGGCAGACUAAGCAGAUAGCUUCAAAUAAGACUUUGAAAAUAUAGUGGACUGUACAGGAACUAGGUCUAGUUUCAAAGCACGCAGAUUUUUUUUUUUUUAACAUCAUAAUUUUUAUGAACUAUCAAAAACAGUGGGAGGGUGGAAAGCAGUUCAUCAUUGCAAAUUGGUGCAUUUUUGGUCCGUUACACUGUGCUGUAUUGACACAGGUGCCACCAGAGUGCUUUAAACCUUAUCUACACUUUCUACAAGAACUUACUGCAAGUUAGAAGGGGAGGACUCUGCUUCAAGGAGGCGUAUUAUAAAUGUGUCCAUGCAGAUGAGCAUUCCAUGUAUCUUCAGAAUGUACGUUGACAAGAGCUGUAGCCAUCCUGAGAAAUUUGGAGACUUCCUACUUCCUUCCCUUGCUGCCUGGUUACAUGAAUACCUUAACACAAGCAGAAAGCCUUCACAUGCUGCUUUCUUUCUCUGUAUUACCUUCCCAGCAGGCGUGGAAUGAAAUCAGUGCAGGAUACACAAGUGUCAGCUGUUUAAUACAAAUAGAAUGGGUAACACCAUUCAUUUCCCUAACACCAGGUGCAGGACCCAUCAUGUUCUCCUUGAAAUCAGUUCAUCAUGCUUUUGCAUACGACAUCAAGCACUAGGAUAACACUUCUUUGAAAUGCUGUACAAUAGCACAUGAAUCAAUGGAAGUGAGAACAAGCAAUAUAAUAAAGCAUUUGACUGACCUGCUUUAAUAGUCAGCAGUCUUCAGAACAUUAUCACUGUUUAUCUGCAUCCUGGCUUAGACUUUAAGACAAUAUUUGCCUUUUUUUUCCCCCAAGAAAAUAGGUAUAUUGGCAAAGAAAUGCCUGUAUUUGGCCCAAAUUAUCAGGCAAAUAUGUAUACCUAUGUAUUUUUUUAGAACCUUGUAACCUUUUACCAAUUUUCCGUACUAUCUAGCCAGAUGGAGGCCUGAUAGUUGUGAAGACAAAGACUUUCAUCCUGCUUGCUACUUACAGAGCGGGCAUCUAUCCCAGUGUGUGCGUGGAAGCUGCAGAGAAACCAGGUAAGAGAAAUGACUCUAUCUGUAUGCCUGCCUGCCAGCAUCUCACUGUUUAGCUCUGCCCCUGCAAACAGCUUCAAAAACCAAUCUGUCAAACUACCAAAUCCUAAAAAUCUGGAAAACUGAACAGGCAUUGUUAUGGCUCCACAGCUGAACCUUCUCCAGGCAUCACAUCCCGUCAUGCUCCACAGCCUCUGUAGGUAUGAACAGGUUACCGAACUCUCUUUCCUUGGCCAUUCUGCACAAGUUUUCUGUUAGUUACCCUUCAACAAAAUGAGCCCUGGCAGUCACAUUUUCUUGACCUCAUAUACCUGAUGCUGAGGUCUUAAGCACACUUUUGUAGAGCAUCAGCUCUGAUGCUCUGUUUCACAGUCCACUUCUUCAAAGACACAUGAGCUCUCUAAGCGUUCCAAACUUUCUACAGAAAUCCUAGUCUCUAGGAGAAAGCUGGAGUCUCUUUUCCUGCCUGUGAAUUCUGAGACAUCAUGAAGCGAGUCUCCUUGUCUCACAGUAACAAAUCACCUCUUCUUUAACAAAAGUGCCUGUUUCCUUCCCUCUCCUGCUCGAUAUCGAGCUCUUUGUUGUCCAUUUAGGAACACUGCAAAACUCAGCCCUUCGCAGACCAGCAGCAGAAUCCUGAUUGCAUCCGAGAUGUAGUUUUCCUUUUGUGUGGAGGUGCUGGCAAGGAUUAACCAUUCUUCAUUGGCCUUGGUCUGGGAGAUAAAUAACAGGCUUACACAUCUUACUGAUGUACUAAUACAUGGCUGACUUCAUAUCAAGGAUACAAUAAUUUUAUCACAUCAUCCAAAUGGAUAAAAUGCACAACUGCAGAUUAUCAGAAUAGCCUUGAUUUUCACUGCAGGGGUGAUUCUAAGAAAUUUCCAAGGCAUUUCAAGGGUAUUUCUAAGGAAUAUUUUGUAAACUAGUAAGAUUCAACUUAAUCAGUGUAUAUGUGCAUCUUCUUUCUCUGAACAGGAAUGAAAUUGUAGGCCCAUUGUGCUCCUCACUUUUGUUCCUCCUUUAGAUGCCCAAAAGUAAGUGGAAUUAUUUUGUAUUUUGGGGCAUAAGCUGUUUAGUCUGGAAUGAGCUAUAAAACUCUCAGUAAUAAAUUUUUCAUCAGACCUUUUUCAAAAGGCUUUUACAAUUCAAAAAGCUAGAAUCAAGAACAGGAUUAUAAAGACUAUAAUGCAGGUUUUAAAACAAACUUGCCUGCUGGACCCUCAGAAGCUUGGUUCUUGGCUGGUGGGUCUGUGCUUGGUGCCAGGUUGGCAGAGGCUGGUGCCCACUGCAGCCUCUCCACUUCUUCACACUUUUAUCCAAAAUUAAUCUGACUGCAGACAGGCCAGAAGAAGAAGGAAUUGGAUUGCCCAUGUUUGUGGAUCUUUCCUAUGUUCAUUUCAGCCUCAACUAUCAGAGCAACCUCAUAACUUUAUGUUAUGUUCUGCUUUCUCUAGUUCUUGGCCACUGCUUUUGUUAGUGUCUCGUCACAGGUUGAGCACAAAACAACUGUACCAGCACUGCACUGCCUAGAGAUCCUCAAUCUUCUUGUGCUCCAGACAGGAUUCUGCCUCAUGUCUGUCAUAUUUAGCAGUUGUGAUGGAUCUGUGAGCGAUUAGGUAAUGUAAGUCUUUGUCACUGACAUGCACAGCCAGCACAUUAACUUCAGAUGAUUUUGGUGGACACUUACAUGCUGGGCUAUGAACAGAGGAGCAAGCAAAUUUCCCAUUUUGGUAUUGUUUGGCAUAGAUAAGGACUAACAGCUUCCAGCAGUAACCUCAAGGAUGUCCACUGGGUUAAGUCUUCUGAGAGCAUGACCGAGUUUUUAAUCACUGGGUUAAAACAGGCAUGAAAUGGAACCAAACCAGGAUAGUCCUUCCAGGUCAGGGGUGUUUUCAAGGGAUUGUUUCCACCUAGGGCAGCAUUAAUAAGACUUACUAAAUCUAAGAAUUGGGCCUUAUAUUUAAGCUAAUUUCAGUUUCACAUUUAGCUGAAAUCCAAGUGUCUCUUUGAACAUCCCAGAUCCAUCUGCUGGCAACCUAAAGAAAAGAAAAAACUGUGAAUCUAUAUACUGCACAGUUUUUUGUUCGUUUAAAGAACACAGUAUUAUAUAAAUGCUGACAGAACUGCAUUAUGAAAGUUACAAGCAGAAAUAACAAUUGCAAAAUUACAGUGAGAAUGAACAAGUCUUGUCUGAUGUUGAAAUACACAUCCUUGCUUCACAGUGAAACUCCCACCCCCACAGAUCCAAAAAUUUCUACGGCAAAAACUCAGUUCUCUGUGAUGUUCACUUGUUAGCACUUUAAUGUACUCUAACAGCACCCCUUCAAAAUCAAUGUGAAUAGACACUAGUUUUGGGAACAUAUACAACUAAGGUGUCACGUCCCCCACUCCUCCACCUCCAGCUUACUCCACCAGUCUACUUGUGACUGUUUACUGGGCUCUCUGCUUUUCUGAUGAAAUUCUUUUCAAAGCUAAAAUGUGUGAAUUGACUGCUGGAAUAAACACAUUCCUCAGAGGGGAAAAAGUUAACUCGGACCAUUUCAGUAAUCUCUUUUAACCCUCAGCUCCUCUGUCAAAGUACAACUUCUGAGGCAGCAUGCUGUGAGACAGCACCAGAGUAGCAGGUAGAUGCAGGCCCCUCAGACCAGCUUCAUUACUGAAGCUGACAACCCUUCAAACAUUGUUUCAUGUAACCUGCUAAAACCAGGUAUGGUUUCAUCGAGGUUUAAGAGCUGAUGAUGAACACUCCUAAACAGAAGUACGCUCUGACGCUCCGCAAGAUACCUAAAAGUGUUUUGAAUGCCAGUGGGAGCUUGCAAUACAUACAAAUUUAUAUCCAACACAGGAAAGUCUAAGAAUGCUUUUCUUUUGGGUGUGCCAAGUUCAGAUCACUAAUGUUAAUUUAUAGUGCCAGAAGCACCUUUGGUAGCAGCUACAGUUGAAAGAGUUUCCAUCCCUUUCCUUGCCACCUGUACCUUUCCAUGUCACCCCACACUACAACUGCACAGCAUUUUGCACUGGAUGUGAUGACCCAGCUGGAUAUCAAAGUACAUUGGAAAAAGAAAACUCACAGCAGACAUGUAACUAUACUGGCACAGCACACAGCAGUAAUAACCCAUUGACAGGGAAGAGCAGCACAGGCUGCUUACCACUGUUACUGAAUUAAAAAAAGACAACCAGCUUCACAGGGUUAGGUAGAAUCACAGCAGUACCUUAACCCAUCGCCUGGUAUAUUACUCUCCAUAAAGAACCUUGAGUUGGCUUCAAGACCAACUCAAAUUAGCUACGCUGCUGAAUGCGGAUGAACGCCUACUACAUAACACACAGUUAUAAAAACUAUUUUCAAUUUGCAAAAGAUAUUGCGGGUAAUGUGUUUGCUUACAUUUAUUGCCUGACCUGCCUUUUCCACAAUUAGUACGGAUACCACAUACUUGUAACGAUCAAAUACCAAUUCCUUCACAGCCUUUAAUAUUUCUUCUGAGAUUGAAGCACACAAGGAAGGACUAGAAACUCCAUCAUAUUUGGCUUGUUGAAGUUUAUUCUUUCAAAAUUGUUUUUGAUAGAUCUUAAGUUUUCAUCCUGCUAGUCUUUUGCAAAAAAGCUUUUACAGUCAUUUUCAUCACAAGAACAUUAGAAGAACUAAUGAGCAGAAUAGUCAACAUAGAUGGAUGCUCUCAAACAGCAAAGGUUGCAUUACUUUUACUCUAAAAUGUAUUAUCUAAUUUUCAAAAGUGACAAACACAUUCAGCCAAUCUCCAUUUAAUAAUCAGGAGUGUAUUCUUCUCUUCACUUGGGCUCAGUUCACUGGAAAAUAGCACUACAAAUACCUGUUCCAGACAUUCAAGGCAUGCCUUCCAGACAGCUGAAGUACAAGAGCUGGUUGUAACUAUGCAAGGUGUCAUUAACAGCUACAUAUUAUCUCAAGCAAAACUGAUGGAGAACAAUCUGUUAAUUUUUCUAGGUGGCAGUCAGUCUACCAAGGACACUAAGUGUAUUUUUUGCAGGUCAUGGGGCAUUAGAGGAACUAAUUGAAAGGGUAGAAUUCCACAAAUUCAAGGUCAAGAUUUUUUGGAUAACUGGAUGUUUGGGAGAUUAGAUUGUUUUUAACUGUGUUGUAGUUCAAUUUCAUUUAGAAACAGGUAUGGGUUUAGGAAACUUCAGCUCAACCUUAACAGCACGUGCUCAGUGGCGAACUUGCAUAGCGCCUUCUGCACUUUACAAAACAGAGCAUAUUCACACUACAUUUGUGUGCCAAAACUACAAGUCCACAAAGAUUUAUGCAUAUGUUAAGUUUAUGCAAUGUACAGUGUUCCACUAACAUAUUCUUUGCAAGACAAGCUGCUUUUGCAAUAAAAUUACAAUUAAAAAACCCCUAUACCAUUAGUAUCACUUGAGCUUUGUCUCUUACUAAAUAAUCCUUAAAUUUAUUAUGUGACUCCAGUCUGUAUGUAUUUGAUGUUUUAUCUUUGCCCUAUUAGCUUUGAACAUCAAUAGCUUAGCUUUCAUCGAAUCAGUAAAAUACUCUUCUUCCAUUGGAGCCAUACUUAAAGCCUCAUAAUUUGACUGUGUACUUUUUCCUUUCAUC